rnacentral:rRNA from 1 species
UACGAAGGGGGCGAGCGUUGUUCGGAUUUACUGGGCGUAAAGGGCGCGCAGGCGGCCAGAUUUGUCGAGUGUGAAAGCCCCGGGCUCAACCUGGGAAUGGCGCUCGAAACGGUUUGGCUGGAGUUCGGGAGAGGAUGGUGGAAUUCCCAGUGUAGAGGUGAAAUUCGUAGAUAUUGGGAAGAACACCGGUGGCGAAGGCGGCCAUCUGGACCGAAACUGACGCUGAGGCGCGAAAGCGUGGGGAGCAAACAGG